rnacentral:rRNA from 1 species
CGGCGGGGGGGGCGGCUACACAUGCAAGUCGAGCGGCAGCGGGGAGUAGCUUGCUACUCUGCCGGCGAGCGGCGGACGGGUGAGUAAUGCUUGGGAACUUGCCUUUAGGAGGGGGAUAACCACGGGAAACUGUGGCUAAUACCGCAUAAUGUCUACGGACCAAAGCAGGGGAUCUUCGGACCUUGCACCUAGAGAUAGGCCCAAGUGAGAUUAGCUAGUUGGUGGGGUAAAGGCCCACCAAGGCGACGAUCUCUAGCUGUUCUGAGAGGAUGAUCAGCCACACUGGGACUGAGACACGGCCCAGACUCCUACGGGAGGCAGCAGUGGGGAAUAUUGCACAAUGGGGGAAACCCUGAUGCAGCCAUGCCGCGUGUGUGAAGAAGGCCUUCGGGUUGUAAAGCACUUUCAGUGGUGAGGAAGGAUGUAAGAUUAAUACUCUUGCAUAUUGACGUUAGCCACAGAAGAAGCACCGGCUAACUCCGUGCCAGCAGCCGCGGUAAU